rnacentral:rRNA from 1 species
UCUGGUUGAUCCUGCCGGACCUGAUUGCUAUCGGAUUGGUACUAAGCCAUGCGAGUAAGUGUAGCAAUACACUGCAGACGGCUCAGUAACACGUGGUCAAGCUAACCUAUGGACGUGGAUAACCUCGGGAAACUGAGAAUAAACCGCGAUAGAUCAUGAUGCCUGGAAUGGCUUAUGGUCGAAAUAGUUUACUGCCGUAGGAUGCGACUGCGGCCUAUCAGUUUGUUGGUGAGGUAAUGGCCCACCAAGACUAUUACAGGUACGGGCUCUGAGAGGAGAAGCCCGGAGAUGGGUACUGAGACACGGACCCAGGCCCUAUGGGGCGCAGCAGGCGAGAAACCUUAGCAAUGUGCGAAAGCACGACUGGGUUAGUCCGAGUGAUUCCUGCUAAAGGAAUCUUUUACCGGUCCUAAAAGCACCGGUGAAUAAGGGGUGGGCAAGUCUGGUGUCAGCCGUCGCGGUAAUACCAGCACCUCGAGUGAUCAGGACGUUUAUUGGGCCUAAAGCAUCCGUAGCUGGCUUUGCAAGUCUCCGGUUAAAUCAACCUGCUCAACAGAUUGGCCGCUGGAGAUACUACAAGGCUAGGGAGUGGGAGAGGCAGACGGUAUUCGGGGGGUAGGGGUAAAAUCCUCUGAUCCUCUGAGGACCACCAGUGGCGAAGGCGGUCUGCCAGAACACGUUCGACAGUGAGGGAUGAAAGCUGGGGGAGCAAACCGGAUUAGAUACCCGGGUAGUCCCAGCUGUAAACGAUGCAAACUCGGUGAAGCAUUGGCUUAAUGCUAAUGCUGUGCCGCAGGGAAGCCGUUAAGUUUGCCGCCUGGGAAGUACGGUCGCAAGAUUGAAACUUAAAGGAAUUGGCGGGGGAGCACCACAAGGGGUGAAGCCUGCGGUUCAAUUGGAGUCAACGCCGG